AACUCGCUACUAUCACCCACGCUACAAAAAUAUUCACCAACACCCUAUCCAGAUCCCCUUUACCCCCGCCUCCCUUCCAUCUCCUCUCUUCUCUCAACCCACUCGCCGUCGGCCCUGAUGAACAGCAGCGGAGGGGCCAUGGCGACGAACGAACGACCAGCCGCGUCCGUCGACCCCUACGUCGAGCUCGCCUGCUCGCGCGGCCCCUCUCCCCCUUCCGUCUCCCCCGAGCCCCCGCCUUACUCUUCUCUACUGGGACGUGGUGUUCUCGCGCUCGGCGUGGGGGCCUGCGGCACUGACGCCAUCGACGACAAGGAGCUCCACCUCGUGCAUCACAAGGACGGCCAGCGCCACAUCAAGGGCUGUGAACCUGUGAUGCAUCGGUGGACGAAUCUGGUUUACGAGAAAGAGACAUAUGCGAGCGCUUUGUUUUCUUCUUUCAGGGUGCCUCCUACAGAUACAAGUACAUGCUCAGGUCAGGUAUAUAUGUUUGUUUCUUUGUCCACCGGUUAGACUAAAACUUCUUUUAGUAGGGUAAAUCUAAUAUUUCGUGGUAACUGUCCAGAGAAAAAAAUGGAUGGAGUGAGUUGAGUUGCAAUUCCUACAAAGUAAAUAAUAAAAAUUCUAAUAAAGUAUUGGUUUAACUAAAACAUUCAGAAUUCCUUUUGGGAUUCUUUGGAUCCAAAUCCUAACCAGUCCAUUUGGUUAACACAAAUGGAUUACUGAAAUGAAUAUGCAAAAAAAAUCAGAGAUGAUGACCUUGGGAUUGACAAUGCAUUGUCAUCAAAUAGACACUGCGGCCACUAUCGUAGAGGGUGGAAAGGAGGAUAAGCGACACCAAUGGGAUGCCAUGUUUGAAUAGAGAACAUGGAAUUGUGUGGGGAGAGGGUUAUCCUUUAACCAUUAAGCCAUGCUUGUUAGGCUAGGGGUAUGUAGUAUUUUUUUCUCCCGUUGCAACGCACGGGGCUUUUUGCUAGUAUAACUUUAACAACUACAAUCUUGAGAAUUUUUUCCAUUCUUUUUUAGCCCAUGCCUUCCACUAAUUUUCUGCACAACGAAGAUAUAGGCUACACACCUCCACAUUAUUUCUCUCUCAAAAAAAUAACCUCCACAUGAUUGCCACUUCAAACUCCAAAGGAUUUCCAGCCACAACUCACGUGUGGUCAGGAAGACAAGUCAAGUCAAGUGGAGCAUUAGGUACACGCUCUGCUGUGUAAACACACACACACACACACACACAAAGAUACUUCAAUCCACUCCUUUAUUCUUGCUAGGAGUCUCGCCGCUCUGCCUCGCACGGUAACCGGAGUUUGGUCGACGACAAGACUCUGGUAACUACGAACCCUUCCAUCUCCCCUAUCAUGCUUUCUCCGGUUGUCCAUGGAGCUGUUGCUUGCUGAAUUUAGGCUUUGUUUUUUUUCGAUGAAGGGCUCUUAAUUUAGGCUUAGUUGGAAUAAUUCCUUGCAAUACUACUAUUUUUAAUUGUCAGUGCCUUCGAUGAUCCAUGCUCCAUCUGCACACAUAUUUAUUAUGCGUGUUUAUAUUCUCAAAAAAAGAUGGCGUGUGUUUAUCUGUUAACCGUAUCGCUUAGCUAAGAUCGUAACAAGAUAUUGGUAGUUGUACGCUUUCUAAAAAGGAACAUAUUUUCCUCACAAAACUAAGAGACGAUCAACUUUAGGAAUUGCAACUUUAUAGACAGUAUUAAUCUAGACUGGUAUCUUGGUAACCAUGUGCGUUCAUGUACCAUUUAGUUUGUAUAGCCAGUGAGGAAUUAAGCAUAUAUUUUCGGCAUGAGCUCUUUUAAAUUGCUAGAUGAGAAGGAAUCUUAACUUAAUUGGUCUUGUGAAUUGUAAUAUACUAUUUGGUUGAACUGGUGAUAUUUUCAUACUAACAAGUUUUCACAUUCCCGAUGUGGACGCGGGGUUGAUUGACGCGGACUAGCGCGGCCCGGUGGGCGCUAUGCUCUUCAACCCGGUGAAGCCCGGAAGCCACGUCGCACAGAUGAUCGUCCAGGUGAUCAUGACACCAAAGGUUGCCGAGGUGGAGGACCUCGAUGCCGGGGGGGGGGGGAUUUGGGUCCACCGGCAUCUGAACUUCGAGCCUUGGUAGAUACAUCUAGAGAAGAGGUUUGUUUAGGUUGGUGGUGAACACUAGGGAAGGUACCCAUGUUUCGAUGAUGGUUGUGUGCGUAUGAUUUUAAAUGGACUCUUGUGAUCUCUUCUAGUUGAGAUGGUUCUAUGACCUUAGUUUAUCUUGCACUGGAUGUGUCUCUGAUUUCCAUCCAUGAAUAUGGCAUCUAAUUUUUUUUAAUUCCUAAUUAGCUAGUAGUAGCGCGGGGGAAAAGGUGCAUGCUACUAGUCCUAAUUAGCUAGUAGUAGCGUGGGAGAAAAAUGCACGCUACUAGUACUUAGGAUAGUAAGUAGCGUGGGUUAUAAAAAAGCGCUACUGCUAUCUUCAGUUACCAGUAGCGCUGGGAAAAACAAGCGCUACUGCUAAAAAAUAGUUGUAGCGUUCUAGUAGUAGCGCGUCUACCAGCGCUACUGGUAGAAAAAAACCAACGCUACUGGUAAGCAUUUUCCUAGUAGUGUGGGGAAGGACAAGACGGCGGCUCUGGAGCGCGCGAAGAAGGUGACGGCAAAGACGAAGGGGAAGAAGACAAGCCGGGGAGGGUCGUCGUCGAGAACUGGCCUGCCGCCCGGCUAGAUCCAGGGCGACUGGAUUUGGUCAAUGAUCCAGCAGGAAGAUCUGAGGAUCUGGUUGAGGGGGGAUUGAUUCCCCACGGUUCUUAGCGGCUUUCGGAGGACGAGACCGAUCCGCGGCCGCAGGAGGGUGACUGUGUCCUUGCGACCCACAUCAACCGCAGUUUCUCUUUGCCCCCCCCCCCAAAUCCUUUCUUCCAAGGUUUUCUGAACUUUUUUGGAGCCCAACUUCAUCACUUUUCUCCCAACGCCAUCACAUACCUUGCUACAUACGUGUCCAUGCGUGUGAACUUUCUGGGCUAUCGACUGCACUAGGGUCUCUUCAAACACAUUUUCACUUGUCGUUCUCAGUCUGCAAAAAAGGCUAACCUGAGUGAUGAGAGGACACAUGUGAUCCAGAUGUGUGGAGGUCUAGGGAUCUAGAUGAGGAGUAAAAGUACUUUCCCUGCUGUAGUUCUUUCUGUUUCAGUCAGAGGGUGGCAGUCGACCUGGUUCUACUGUAAGGACCAACCGACCCCUGGUCAGUCGACUGGCCUUCUCCCGUUUUCCAUAGAGCGAGUAAAGAAGCCUUCUCCCUUGAAAGUGACUCCAGCUGAGAAAGUGGAGGUGAACAUGUUGGUUGAGCGAGUAGUCCAACUUGUCCGCGACGGUGUGACUGGCGUGGACUUGUUAGAGGUGUUUCUUAGUCGACGCAUCCAGCCACUCCAACCCGUGAUCAUCCAAUGUGGAUGUACUCGGGUAUUGGUGACAACACUCGGGUCCACCCGGAGGAAGUUGACAAGGAGACGGUGGUGCAGUGGUUGCAGGGCAUCACUAGCAACAAGGACAACCCCAGGGGGUCUAGGAGGAUUCCUCCACUCGACAACACCAACGAACCAGACAAGAUCUACACUAAGAUGUAUUCGAUGCCCAACGGAGAGCAGGAGCAGGAGGGAGAGGCGAGCGGGGGUGACAGUGGUGACUGAAAUUCUGACGGAGGACGAGACAAGGAGAGUGAAGACUCGAGCAGUGGUGUGGAGGUCGACUCUCCACCUCGCACGGAAGGAGCUCCAAGCAGAGGUAGGACCCAGCAAGUGUUCGUGGCAAAGCUACUCCACCGACCGGACAGACCUUAAAGCGCACUGGAACAUCUUCUCCUGUGCUGACUAAGAAAGCUCCGAAGCAGCCCAAAGACGCAUCGUCAAAGCCUCGGAAGGCCUUUCCCAAGAUUAAAGUGGAUAUCCCCAUCGCUUCUGGUGCUGCUACCUCUGGGACUUCUAUUUACCAAGAUGAUGAUGACGAGGAGAUGGAAGACGUAGUCACCUCCAACGCGGCUCCGCCCAAUGUUAUUGAACUUCCAGAUGACGACGAAGAUGUGCCGCAGAGACCUAUUGGAAGGAGGGGCGGGACUUCAAGCAGGAAGGCACCGGCUAGCAAAACGUCCCAGUCAACGCCGGCGACGGAACCAGUGAUUUAGCAGUCCAGAGACCUCAACUGGGUUUCUGUAACUUUUGUCGUUCCAGUAUCGAGUGAACGUCCUUGAUCAUCAACUGCACAAGUCCCUAUUUCGUCUGUAGAACACCACGCCUCGAAUCGUCAAGUUGUCGCGACUCUUCCACCGUCUCCGCUGUUUGUCACCCAUCGCGUUUCGGAGGAUUAGGCAAGCGUUGAUAAGGAAGCCAUACGCCAAGCAGGCCUGAUGAUGGAGCGGAUGAAUACGGUGCAUGAGACCAGCCAAGUUGCCUAUGAUGCCAGUGCAGCUCUCCAAGCCAAUGUCCAGAAAUCCUGUGAGCUCAUAUCCCAAUUUGCUGAAUUUGAGAGAAAGCAGAUCCAGCUCAAUCUUGACUUGGAGUUGGCCAAGAAGAACUUGCAGAAGGCCAAAGACGAAACAACUGAGAAAAUGAGGCAGGCUCUGGCAUAGAAGGACCUUGAUCUUGCCGCAGCACAGGAGGCUCUGGAGAAAACAACACUCGCUGAUAAGAAGCUGGCUUCAAUCGGGGCGCUAGAGGAAGACAACGUCAAGCUGAAGACUGCUCUUGCCGAAGCUAAUAGAGAAGUGACCCAUUUGAAGAAGGACAAAGUAGCCUUGAACGAAAAGAUUGAAUUCAUUUCUCGGAAGAGAAAUGACCUGGAGGCUUAUCUGGGCGGACUCGCCAAGAAGUUAUUCCUUAUGCUUGAAGAAUUCUGUCAAAACUUUGAGGAAGAAACUGAGCGAAUCGAGACAAUCUUGGACCCCGUCAAUUCCCUUGUUAAGGAUGAAGCUGUCAUGAACGUGCUUCGACUGGAAUCCCGUCUUGCCAACCUUAUAGACUACCUUGUUCGACUGAAGGUUGCGGUGCCGCGGAUUGACACGACGCUUUUCCAAAGGAGACGCUCCAAAAUGACCUCGAGUCUUUGAUGACUCGACUCAAUGAGAUCCCUGGUCGAGUGCAGGAAUGGAAGAAAUCGUCUACUCGGUGCGGUGUUGACGUAGCUCUGUUCCUUGUUCGUGUCCAUUGCAAUGAGGCCAAAGAAGAGAAGUUAGCAGCGAUCAAGGUUGCCAACACCAAGAGACUUGACUUCUAGUCUUUUAUGGAGACCUUCAUUGCUGCUGCUACUCGAAUUGCAGAUGGAAUUGACCUGGAUUAGUUCGUCAAGCCUGCCAGUCCUCCUCCCGUGGAGUGAACAAACUUUUUACAAUCCGAUUAAAUUUGCCUCGGUAUGACGAGUGGUUUUGUAACCGUUAAACUCCUUCGGGCCUGAUGCGCGAGUAUUUUUAUCUGCGGUUCUAAACUUUGAGAUUUAUCUGAACUUUGUUA